rnacentral:lncRNA from 1 species
CCAUGUCUAUACAUGCUAGACUAGUCGAGUCAACCUAAGUGUUUUGCGUGUGUAAAUAUGGCUUACACUCGUUGUAUGCGAAUGUUAGAAUCUAUCACACCCGAUCAUCACGUGGUGUUUCGAGACAACAAUCCUUCGCAACGGUGCACAUUUAGGGGAAUACAUAUCUCGACAUUUUAUGAGUGAUCAUCUUAUCUUUGCUACCGUCUUUGCUCCCUUCAUCUCCAUCUUCGGGACAUCACAUGAUCAUCAUUGUCACUGACAUAACACCAUGAUCUCUAAGGCUGGACAUUCGAUAUAAACUGAAAAUUCGGUUUCUACUAUUCAGUUUAUUUUUAAAUUCGGUUUGCAAAACCAAAGACCAAAAAUGACAGCUCAAAACAACUAACGAAAAAUUCGGUUAACCGACAAUUCGGUACGGUUUUCGGUUUACACCGAAUAAACCUUGCUU